UUCUUGCUGAACUCAGGAAUCUUCCAACUGGGAUUUCUGUAAAAUCUAGGAAUCUUUUGAAAUGUUCCAGAAUUUUGCAGCCCUAGACAAGAAAGAAACGUAACAGCAACAUUCUCUGGUCACCAUUUUGUGACAAACACAUCAUUAGUUUACAGUACAACAUCGAAGGCCAAAAGAGUUCUCUAAGCCAUGGUGGUCCGGUCCCCACUGACACAGGCUAACGUGUGUGUGUGUGUGUGUGUGUGUGUGUGUGUGUUUGUGUGUGUGUGUGUGUGUGUGU